UGUGCCAACCUCCCGAGCGCAAAGGCGGACAUUUCCUUUAGCUGAGCCUCUGAAGACUGCAACAUCUCGAUUAGCGGACCAACAGCACCUCUUUGAACUAUGUCAACCUUGCAGUCUGUAUCAGCAGCAGCAAACUGUCCAAGAAGUAAGGCAGCUUCUCGUUGGCUCUCAGAACAAGUCGAACUGGAUGACAAAAGAUAG
rnacentral:lncRNA from 1 species